UAGGGAAUCUUCGGCAAUGGGGGCAACCCUGACCGAGCAACGCCGCGUGAGUGAAGAAGGCUUUCGGAUCGUAAAGCUCUGUUGUAAGAGAAGAACGAGUGUGAGAGUGGAAAGUUCACACUGUGACGGUAACUUACCAGAAAGGGACGGCUAACUACGUGCCAGCAGCCGCGGUAAUACGUAGGUCCCGAGCGUUAUCCGGAUUUAUUGGGCGUAAAGCGAGCGCAGGCGGUUAGAUAAGUCUGAAGUUAAAGGCUGUGGCUUAACCAUAGUACGCUUUGGAAACUGUUUAACUUGAGUGCAGAAGGGGAGAGUGGAAUUCCAUGUGUAGCGGUGAAAUGCGUAGAUAUAUGGAGGAACACCGGUGGCGAAAGCGGCUCUCUGGUCUGUAACUGACGCUGAGGCUCGAAAGCGUGGGGAGCAAACAGGAUUAGAUACCCUGGUAGUCCACGCCGUAAACGAUGAGUGCUAGGUGUUGGGUCCUUUCCGGGACUCAGUGCCGCAGCUAACGCAUUAAGCACUCCGCCUGGGGAGUACGACCGCAAGGUU
rnacentral:rRNA from 1 species